AUUGAACGCUGGCGGCAGGCCUAACACAUGCAAGUCGAGCGGAUGAAGGGAGCUUGCUCCUGGAUUCAGCGGCGGACGGGUGAGUAAUGCCUAGGAAUCUGCCUUGUAGUGGGGGAUAACGUCCGGUAACGGGCGCUAAUACCGCAUACGUCCUGAGGGAGAAAGUGGGGGAUCUUCGGAUCUCACGCUAUCAGAUGAGCCUAGGUCGGAUUAGCUAGUUGGUGGGGUAAAGGCCUACCAAGGCGACGAUCCGUAACUGGUCUGAGAGGAUGAUCAGUCACACUGGAACUGAGACACGGUCCAGACUCCUACGGGAGGCAGCAGUGGGGAAUAUUGGACAAUGGGCGAAAGCCUGAUCCAGCCAUGCCGCGUGUGUGAAGAAGGUCUUCGGAUUGUAAAGCACUUUAAGUUGGGAGGAAGGGCAGUAAGUUAAUACCUUGCUGUUUUGACGUUACCAACAGAAUAAGCACCGGCUAACUUCGUG
rnacentral:rRNA from 1 species